UCGCGACCAUUCGCGACCGCCAUUGUGCUCAAGUCGUCAGAACCAAGGCCUUCUGUCAGAGAACCGAGCAAGCGUCCCAGUCCUCGAAGGUGACUCUGCGGAAGAACAGCUUCCGACAGAAACUUCGGAACAGAUUCAAGAACUGUCGAAAGCCACUGAGCAACGCCGUCAUCGACACGGAAAGACGAGCCAGGGGCAUCGUUGUGAAAAAGCGUGCGGCAGCUGAAGAGGGGAUGCCGGGGAUGUUUCCCAAAACGAAGAAGUCGAAGCUAGACAUCUGCACCGAAACCGCCAAGUUCAGUGCCAAGCUAAAGCACGCCGAUGUCACUCACAAGACAUCUGUUCUCAAAGAAUCCUUCGAGGCUCGGCGGAUAUGCCUCACGAGCAACCGCGAAACCGGAAGACUGGCGAGGAGAUGAAGGAGAUAUUCCCGGAUAUGUACAGCGAAGCUGCCGUGUGGACUGACUUGGGAAUGAUCAUGGGGCUCCGGGCUCGAGGAGGACGUGAAGGAGCAUGUCCUGCACAAAAUCAGACAUACCGCGAAGAAGUAUGCCCAGACGAUGAUAAACGUGGAGCCGGCCGACAAAGACGACGACGAGCUGCUAGCUCUACUUGCCUAUGGUUGUGGAACAACAAUU